UUUAAUCUAUUGAACAGUGACCUAUUGAAGCAGAAGCCAAAUCUGCUAAUCUUAUCAACAAAAACAUCUUUAAAAAUAUUAGAUCCUUACAAGAGUAGGAAUCUUUAUUUUGUUCACUGAUGUAGGGCAAGUGCUAAAAAUGCCUGUUAUUAUAUAGUUGCUAAAUAAAUAUUUCUGAAAUACAUGAAUAAAUCAAUAAAAUUUAUUUUUUAAAUUGACAUGAAUUUUGCCACUGAUCAGAAAGCAAGACUGAUAAGGUGAUAUCUUAGCUUGUUUGUGAAAUGGGGGCUUUUGAUUAACAGUUUAAUAUGCUAAUUAUUAUUAUUAUUUAAGUUUGUAUUCCUGUUUAAGUCAUUUCAAAUAUUAACUAACCUCCAGGGUACAGGAAUAAGUUAACAAUAAUGAACAUACAAAUAUAUAGCAUACUAUCUAUGCUGAAGUAUUUCAUUUAUUUUUAGUAAGAGAAAGAACCAUACAUACACAUAUAUGGGAACGCUGCAUAAUGGGACAGUCAGAGACCCCACAUACGCGAGUGGUUCCUUUGUUGAAGUAUGUUUAAAAAUAUCUAACUCUACCAAAGAAUGAUUGCAGGUCAUGAAGUCCCUCAAAUCCUUUCCUUGUUCACCAAUUAGCAUUUUUUUGUAUUGAGGAAAUUCCCAGCAGAAGCCUGAAGACAUUCUUAAAACAAAGCAGAACCUUGAAUUUUGUAAUGUCAAGAUUCUGGAUAGACACAUGAGAGCCUGGACGUGCAAUAAUUCUAAGCUACUCAACAAUGAAAGGUCAUGAUGUGUGAUAUUGGAAAUGUAGUUUUCUUAAGGCUUUGAUUGUGAAUUGUUUGUUGCUUAUCAACACCUGGAGGGUUCCCCAGACCUUGCAUGCUUUUCAAUCUUCCUUUUAUAACAAUUACCCCCAACAUUUACACCAGGUGAUCUUAGAAAUGCCUUGUUAAGAGAGAGAAGAGCCAGAGGGCCAGUUCUCUGGGAGACAAUCUGCUGGAUUUUGUGCUCAGCUCACAGCAAAUCCUAGCAAUGGAGAAGAAUAUAGAGCUGCAAGAUCAGAGAGGAGAGAUAGAGACCGAGAUUUUCUGGAAAGCCAAUGGAUCCACAUCACUAUGGGAACAUAAGAUUAGUUUAUGUUUUCUGCACUGGAGUUUCUCAACCUCACCUAUAUUGACAUUUUGGACCAGAUAAUUCUUUGUUUUAGAAGGCUGUCAUGUGCAUUGCAAGAGGUUUAUCAACAACCCUGGGAGAAGAAGCUGGUAUCUGUGUCUGGCACCUUGAUCUGUGA